CCAAAUAAUCGGACGGUCGCAGGCCGCAAGGCGUGAGGAAAGUCCGGACACCGUAAGGCAGAGUGCCUGCUAACUACAGGUUAAGGCGACUUAAAGGAAAGUGCAACAGAAAUAGACCGCCGACUUAUAGUCGGUAAGGAUGGAAAGGCGAGGUAAGAGCUCACCGUCUUUGCGGUAACGCGAAGAGCCAUGUAAACCCCACUCGGUGCAAGAGAAAACGACAUUAUGCGGUAGCCUGCCGCGUCGGAAAAUCGCUUGAACGCGUCGGCGACGUCGCGUCUAGACAGAUGACCGUCAUAACAGAAUCCGGCUUACAGAUUAUUUGGUAUA
rnacentral:RNase_P_RNA from 1 species